rnacentral:ncRNA from 1 species
GCAAUGGUUUUCGGGAAAAUCCCCGAAACAAAAGGGAAUGCCGUGCGAAUCGGCAACAGUUACCGCUGCUGUAUGUUUCACCCUCCGGAAUCCGCAAACGCGAACCGAAGGAAAAUCGUUUUAAAUUUUUGCCACUGACCACAUCGUUCGGGAAGGCUUUAAAACGGAAACAAGUCAGAAGACCUGCCUUGCAACAUG